CCAAAGGUAAUAUUUAAAAUACCUCUAACAUAUAUAUUUUACAUAUAAAUGGAGCCCAUAUUCAAGACCUUGCGUAACCGGGAAGUGGCAUCCCACACCCCUACCAAAAGGAAGUAUAAACGCAAGCCAAAGGAAACUCUGAUGGAAAUAGCUAAAGAAAAAGAAAAUGAUAAUAAUAUGGAUAAUGAUGAUCCCAUCUUUGUACAUGAUUCAAGGACUCCGAUAGCAGUUAUCGAUCUAACAGACGAUAAUAUUCUUGCGACAGACAAUGCAUCCCGAACAGUUGGAUCCAAUGAAAUUGCAAAUAAUAAUGAUCAAGAUAUCUAUCUUGUGAAUGUUUUAGAGGAUCCAAUGCUAGUCCUCGAGCGUAUCUACUGGGAUAGAAAUGCAUAAUGGUUAUCUGACGUCACAGUAUGGAUCCUUAGGGUGCAAAAAAAUAAUCGAAAAAGUUCCAUUAAGUCCAGAUUUUCCCUUAAGAACUAUUUUAUGGAAUAGCGCCAUUUCAAUGCCAAUUUCAACAUUUAAUUGAGGAUUUUCCAUUUCCCUGGAUUAGUAAAUUAACCAAUCGGAAUAAAUCUGUUUUCAUCAAUGAUUAAUGCGAACAAUUCAGCUGUUUAAUUAGUUUAUUUUAUGUUAUUUGUCUUAUUUCUCAGUUCCAAAUUCAAAAUUUCGAUUUUUCCAACAAAACUAAUUACCGUUAAUUCCAUCCACUUAACUUGAUAAAUAAGUUAUAGUUGCCACAUAAAUUUAAAAUUCACAUAAACAAAAAUCAGCCCCACAGCGAAAUUGACCCCUCACCUGAGGCGCCGCAAUGUGUGCAACAAGUUUAUGCAUCAGCACGCCAGUUGAAGCUUGUGAAGCGAUCUCAUAAAUUAUCCCAGCUAAAACCGGCGAAAAAAGAAGGCAAACCUCGCAAAACCAGAGAAAAAAGCAGCUGGCCAGAACAAACUCAGCCCGCAGAAGCCGCAAACAUGCAAAGCCAAAAAAAAGGGGUAACAGGGGCGUGGAAAAGGGGGCGGAUGGGAGGAUGGGAAGCGGAAGUGCAGCGGCGAGUGCAGCACCAACUAAGCACGUGUCAAGUGUGUGGCCCAAGUUUUAAUUUGCCCGAGGCAUCCACUAACAUCCCGUACUCCUAAGACUCACUGAAAUAAAAAAAUAAAUUGUUAAA